rnacentral:rRNA from 1 species
GCUCAACACAUGCAAGUCGAGCGGUAGAAAGGAGCUUGCUCCUGGUAUCUGCGGCGGACGGGUGAGUAAUGCCUAGGAAUCUGCCUGGUAGUGGGGGACAACGUUUCGAAAGGAACGCUAAUACCGCAUACGUCCUACGGGAGAAAGCAGGGGACCUUCGGGCCUUGCGCUAUCAGAUGAGCCUAGGUCGGAUUAGCUAGUUGGUGAGGUAAUGGCUCACCAAGGCGACGAUCCGUAACUGGUCUGAGAGGAUGAUCAGUCACACUGGAACUGAGACACGGUCCAGACUCCUACGGGAGGCAGCAGUGGGGAAUAUUGGACAAUGGGCGAAAGCCUGAUCCAGCCAUGCCGCGUGUGUGAAGAAGGUCUUCGGAUUGUAAAGCACUUUAAGUUGGGAGGAAGGGUUGUAGAUUAAUACUCUGCAAUUUUGACGUUACCGACAGAAUAAGCACCGGCUAACUCUGUGCCAGCAGCCGCGGUAAUACAGAGGGUGCAAGCGUUAAUCGGAAUUACUGGGCGUAAAGCGCGCGUAGGUGGUUUGUAAGUUGGAUGUGAAAUCCCCGGGCUCAACCUGGGAACUGCAUCCAAAACUGGCAAGCUAGAGUAUGGUAGAGGGUGGUGGAAUUUCCUGUGUAGCGGUGAAAUGCGUAGAUAUAGGAAGGAACACCAGUGGCGAAGGCGACCACCUGGACUGAUACUGACACUGAGGUGCGAAAGCGUGGGGAGCAAACAGGUUAG